GACGGGGGGGGGCAAGUGUUCUUCGGAAUGACUGGGCGUAAAGGGCUCGUAGGCGGUUUGUCGCGUCGGGAGUGAAAUCCACUGGCUUAACUGGUGGCUUGCUUUCGAUACGGGCAGACUGGAGGUAUGCAGGGGAGAACGGAAUUCCUGGUGUAGCGGUGAAAUGCGCAGAUAUCAGGAGGAACACCGGUGGCGAAGGCGGGUCUCUGGGCAAUAACUGACGCUGAGGAGCGAAAGCGUGGGGAGCGAACAGG
rnacentral:rRNA from 1 species